rnacentral:rRNA from 1 species
AACGAACGCUGGCGGCAUGCCUAACACAUGCAAGUCGAACGAGACCUCCGGGUCUUGUGGCGCACGGGUGCGUACCGCGGGGGAACCUACACGUAGGUUCGGAAUCCCUCCCCGAAGGGGGUGUUAAUACAGGAUAAUGUAUUCGGACCUAAGAUUUAUUGCUUUUGGAUGGGCGCGGGUUGGAUUCGCUGGUUGGUAGGGUAAAAGCCUACCAAGGCGACGAUCCAUAGCUGGUCUGGGAGGAUGAUCAGCCACGCUUGGACUGAGACACGGCCCAGACUCCUACGCGAGGGAGCAGAGGGGAAUAUUGGACGAUGGGCGAAAGCCUGAUCCAGCAAUGUCGGGGAAGUGAGGAAGGCCGUAGUGUUGUAAAGCUCUUUUACCCGGGAUGAUAGUGACAGUACCGGGAGAAUAAGCUCCGGCUAACUCCGUG